rnacentral:rRNA from 1 species
UACGAAGGGGGCUAGCGUUGCUCGGAAUCACUGGGCGUAAAGGGUGCGUAGGCGGGUCUUUAAGUCAGGGGGGAAAUCCUGGAGCUCAACUCCAGAACUGCCUUUGAUACUGAGGAUCUUGAGUCCGGGAGAGGUGAGUGGAACUGCGAGUGUAGAGGUGAAAUUCGUAGAUAUUCGCAAGAACACCAGUGGCGAAGGCAGCUCGCUACACUAUUAUUGACGCUGAGGCACGAAAGCGUGGGGAGCAAACAGG